GAGUUUGAUCGUGGCUCAGAUUGAACGCUGGCGGCAGGCCUAACACAUGCAAGUCGAGCGUGAAAGGGCUUCGGCCUGAGUAAAGCGGCGGACGGGUGAGUAACGCGUAGGAAUCUACCUAGUAGUGGGGGAUAACGUUCCGAAAGGAACGCUAAUACCGCAUACGUUCUGAGGAAGAAAGCAGGGGAUCGCAAGACCUUGCGCUAUUAGAUGAGCCUGCGUCCGAUUAGCUAGUUGGUGGGGUAAAGGCCUACCAAGGCGACGAUCGGUAACUGGUCUGAGAGGAUGAUCAGUCACACUGGAACUGAGACACGGUCCAGACUCCUACGGGAGGCAGCAGUGGGGAAUAUUGGACAAUGGGGGCAACCCUGAUCCAGCCAUGCCGCGUGUGUGAAGAAGGCCU
rnacentral:rRNA from 1 species